ACCUGCCGCUCCCCACCCGGCCUCUGCGGCUCAGGCCCGAGAGUCCCGGGCGGGGGCCGGGAGCGGGGGCUCGGGGGAUGCUGGAGCGAGAGGUGCUGGUACGGGACCAGGUCGCACGAGCCCGACCUCACUUCCAGGCUGGCCCCGCCAACGGGCGGGCGUGUGACUCGGCAUGCAUUGCUUCUCAUCUUUUGGUCUCAGUGUCCUCACCCAUAAAGUGAGAUAACCAUCACCUCGUGCAACUGCUUUAAAAAUGAUAACGUAGCCCGGCACAUGCCUCUUCCAUGUAAGCCAUGAGCCUCCACUGUCUCAACUGCUGGGGCCCCCGGACACAGACCUGCAGAGGCAGAGCUGGCCAAGAGGUAUUUCAAGCAGCUCCACCACCCCCCUUCUCUUCCUUUUGGACGCCACAGCACAUGGUACAAGGCUGAUGGGAACUUUCAAGAAAAGAAAAGAUAUACAUUGGAGAAGAUAACCUGGAUAAGCCCUUCUUCGUUUGAUUUUAUUAAAUCCUGAUAUCACAGGCAAAGGCAAUAUCUUCUAAAAGUCCAUACCCUGUCUCCAGGGCUUUCAUGAACUAAGGAGGACCUCACUGAGAGGAUAACAUCCCAAGAUAUUUUUAUCAAACACUAGUAAUCUUCUGAGGAUUUGUAUCUGAUAGAAAAAAAAAAGAAUACAGGUACAUAUAUUUAAUGGUGCUUUGCAAAAACACAUGAAGAACGAAAUGACUUAUAUUUUAAUGGUCCUUGACUAGAUCCUUGACUUCACAUAGGAAGACAGACAAAAACUUCUUACAAGUUGUGGAAAGUUUCAUACAGAAAAUAAUUAUACAAACAAAUGUAAAAAUUGAACAAUGACAAGUGCUAUGGAGCUAUCUCUUUUCAGUAUUUUUCAAGUUAUUUUGACUAUGACUUUUCUGCCAAAUACAUUUGACAUCAUGACCUACACGAACUAGUUCUCUAAGCUCUGAGAGUGACAUCAGGAGGAUGAGCAGAAAUUAAGUGGAUGAAGAGGAGAAGAAUGGAGAAGAAUGGUCCCAGUAGAGAAAGCAAUAAGUGCAAAGACCCUGUGGCUAGACAGAGCAAGUGAUGAUAGGCACUGUAAAAAAAAAAAAAAAAAAAAAAGGCUGAAUGUCUAAGAGGCCAGUCUGGCUGGAUCUAAAAAGCCAAGAUGAUCAUGAUAUGAGAUGAGGCUAUAAGAGCCAUAGAUACAUACCACGUAUGACCUCAGAGGCCACAGCAAGAGCGCCUGUCUCAGAUUCAGAUUUGUUUUUGAAAAGAUCACUGGCUACACUGGAAGAUAUAUAGAAAUAAAGCUGAGCAUGAAAGCAGAGAGGUUAGUCAAGAGGCUAUUGCUAUAGUGCCAAUGAGAGGUUAUGGCAGCCUGGACUGAACAGUAAUGGUGGAGAUGGGGGAAAACGAAUGCAAUCCAGAGAUUGCAAACAGUAAUUCCACAGGACAUAAUCAGUACUCAGUGUGUGCCAUGGACUGUUCUAGGUCAUGAAGACACAGCAGAAAACAAGACAGGCCGGAUCCCUGCCCUUAGGGAGAUUAUGUUCUCGCUCCAGGUUUCUGGCUUUCAUACCUAAGUGGACAAUGAUGCCAUUCACUGAGAUAGGGAAUCCUGGAAGAAGAAUCAGGUGUUAUUUUGGACAUGUGGAGCUUUGGGUACUUUUGAGACACCCAACAGGAUGAACAGAGUGUUGGAAAUAUAAGUUGGGAGCUCAGAGGAGAGGUCUGGCCUGGAAAUAUAAGUGUAUUUUCUUUAUUGGACUUAGAGGCAAAGCAAGAGAUAAGAGACACACCAUGAAGUAUCAUUGUGCACAUAAAGCCAAACAGAACUUGUACAGGAAUUCACCCCAAAUGACAGCAUCAUUGCUUACUGGAUACUUACAAUACACUGAAAAAAUGACACAUAUGUGAAUAGACAGUUGCUUCAUAUCUGCACACAUGUAAUUUGCUUGUACUUAUAAGUUUCCUUGUUUGUGUUACUAGUUUUUUCAUCUAUAGUGAUCCUUAGCUCCUUAUUAAAUUGUGACAGUGAUGAUCAAAGUCGGCUUUAUAUUAAAAUUAUUUGAGCCUAUGUCUAUCCUUCAUGAACCUCUAGAGAGUAAGACCUUGCCUAAAUUCCAUCAUUUGCCCUAGAGUUCUGCAUUCAAUGGAUAAAAUUAAAUUUUUUCCCUCAGACUCAUUCAUUCAUUCAUUCAUUAGGUGUCUAGAUUUACAUCUGUGCAUACCUUAAGACACUCCUCACAAACAGCUAAAAUUGUCCACAUAGCAUAAUCAUGCCUCUAUUACUUUAAUUCCUUUUUUAAAAAGAUUUUAUUUAUUCAUGAGAGGCACACAAAGACAGACAUAGGCAGAGGGAGAAGCAGGCUCCCCAGUGGGAGCCUGAUGCGGGACUCUAUCCUAGGACCCCAGGAUCACAACCUGAGCUGAAGGCAGACUCUCAAUCACUGAGCCACCCAGGUACCCCUAAUUCCUAAAUCUAUUACUUGCAUGUGUCUAUGUGUGAAUGUAUUUGCAUCUAUGUAUAUCUACUUCUGUAAAGAAAGUCCCCGUCACAAUUACAUUUCUACAUAGAUGUGCAGAGGCCAAUCUGGGUAGCGCAGUGAGAAAAAGAGUGGUCUGGGUAUCAAUAGGCAGAAAUCUUUUUUUAGACUUUUUAGCUCUGGGACCAUCAGCAAGUCAUUUAUCACUUCCACCCAUUUCUCUGUACAAAUGGCAAUAAAUGGUCUCUAUGGUCUCUUACAUCUCCAAGAUCCUUUGAAAUGCAAUUUGAUGGUAAAAAAUGGCUUUUCAACACUUAGAUCCCUCUGACCACAAACCUUAGAUUGAAAUACCUCAGAGAAGACAGGAAAUAUUUCUAAGUAUUUGGUAUGGCUACAUUGAUCUUCUAAGAUUGCAGGGGGGCAGGGGGAAUGUGUGAGUUAAAACGAAAGCCGAGGUUGGUGCUGGAAGUUUUGAGGCAUUUGAUUUGAAAGUUGCUCUAGAAAGGGGUGCUAGAAGGACCACCCUGUUAAGGGGAACAUGAGGUCCUGCAGUUUGAGAACUAUUUAGGUUUGUAGCUUGUAUAAGAAUAUGACCACUGGGUCAAUUAGCUCUCAGAUGAAUGCUGAAGUCACCA